rnacentral:lncRNA from 1 species
AACCUAUGGCUUUUGGGGGAUACAGUUCAGUCCAUAGCAGUGGGGAAAGGAUGUGACUCAGUCUAGAGAGACUCAAGGAGGGAAUGCUUAGAUAGGAGCAUGGAGGGCGUGCCUGGUGAAGGGAACAGUAUGGCACAGCUUCAGAGGCAAGGGUGAGCCAGCAGCAAGGGGCUGGCUAUGGCCGGUACAAAAAGCAUGUGCUCGUGGGAAAUAGGCACCAAAGAAGGCCCAGAGAGGUUUAACAACUUCCUCAGAAUCACACAGCUUCCAAAUGGUUGGGUUGGGUUUACAUUUAGGCGGUCUUGCUCCAGAGCCAGUGCUCCUAACCUUUGCAAGCCACGAACCUCAAGAAAGUGGAGAAGGAAACGCUGGGAAAUCUGGAAGUCAGACAUGCCUAGUUUAUCUCCCGGGAGCUGACUUCAUUUCUAAACGUAUAGGGGUUUCUUAGAGGAGCUUCAGAAUACUAAUCAUCGCUAGUGAGGGCACUUGGACACUUUGCUUCACCUCAGCCAGCACCUCUUUUCCCAGCUGUAAAAUGGUAUGAUAAUAAGCACCCCUAGGAAUCUCAAGGAUGUUACGAGGGAAAAAUAUGCAAUAAUAUACAAAGCACUUUGAGCUUCUCUGAAGACAGACGCAUAUAAAUGGAAGGUGGUAUUAUAAGGUGGGGUAAUCACUGGUUACCUCCCCCCCUUUUUUAUUUAAUUAGGAGAAAACCAGUAAUUAGGAAGCAUGGCCUUGUUAAAGCUGUGGCCUGGGAAAUAGUUCUCUUGGCACCUAAUCAGAACUGUGACAUGGCGCAAAUUUUUGCAAAAUGUGGGCAGCAGGGGACCUUCCCCAAGGCUCAGACUGUGAGAAAUUUGCGUCUAGGGGCCAGAUCCUGAGGUGGCUGAGCUGGCUGGGGAGGCUUCUAAGGAGAUCUUCACUCAGGUCUGCAAGGGGGCUCUGCCCUGCCUCAGUAGCCCUCAUCUCUGGGGGCCCCAAAGUCAUUCUCAUCUGCAGGUUAGAGCUUGCUGCAGGCCCAGAACCAAGCUUGUCCACCACGUGGCCUUCUUGGACCCACUGGGGCAACUUCAGGGUUCUGAAAAGCACCUCAGAUCUAGUCUGGUCUCUGAUUCAGUAGCAGAGACAAAGAAAUCCCCUGCCUGUUCCCCUUAAAAUGGGCCAUUGUGGAGUAGGUGCUGGGGCCCUAGCUUGCUCCCCACUGUGCCUUUGUUAGAGCAUUAGCCUCCAGCGGAACCCACUGUCUCUCUCCUUGCGAGUCCCAGUUUGCCCAUUCUCCCGGAUCCUGCUUAAAGGCCGCCUCUGCCAGGAGGCCUUCCCAGGUCUUCCCAGUUACCAUCACUCUCUUCCUCCUCUAGACUCUGUGUUUGGUACAGUGUGGUUUUUGUGUUUGUCCUGUCUUCUCUCACAUUUGACUCUGAGCCACUGGAAGAAAGGGAAGGAAAGUAAGAGAAAUGAAGUAUUCCCAUUCCCAGGCACCUGGCCAGUUGUUGCAGACAGAAUGACCAGCACUGUUGUAUUGAUUCCCCCUCAAUACGUUGAAAAAGCAAACGGGAGGCAUCUGGAAAAUCUUGAGAUAAGCAGCUUCAUUUUCAAUGAUGAGUCUUUUAAAAUACACAGAAAUGGUAUAACAAUCAUGUAUCCACCACUUAGACUACCAAUGGUUACUUUUGUCAUAUUCACUUUAAAUGUCUUUUUAUUAUGUAUUUAAAAGAAGUGAAACUUGUAGAUACAGCUAGGGCUCCCCGUGUCCACUCACUGAAGUCCCUUCCCUUUUGUCAUAUUCACUUUAAAUGUCUUUUUAUUAUGUAUUUAAAAGAAGUGAAACUUGUAGAUAUAGCUAGGGCUCCCCGUGUCCACUCACUGAAGUCCCUUCCCUCUCCCUUCUAGGGUCCACCACUUUCCUUGUCAUCUGGUAAAGGACCCUGCAUCCAUGGAUGGACAGAGGGGAUUGCUAAAGUGCUGAAUCGCGUGUGAAAUUCUACGUGUGCCUCUUUCUCACACAUGCCACAUCCAUUGCAGAGAUGCUCUUGACUCAACCUUCCAGCAGUCUCCACUGCAACCACUCUGGCCAAGGCCACCAUUUUCUUUUCUUUUCUUUUUCUCUCUCGCCAUGGUUGGAGUGCAGUGGUGCGAUCUAGGCUCACUGCAACCUCUGUCUCCAGGGUUGAAGCGAUUCUUCUGCCUCAGCCUCCCGAGUAGCUGAGAUUACAGGUUUUUCUCACUGUAAGAAGAGGACAAUAGCCUAUGAUCUACAGUGCCCAUUCCAACUCAGAGAAUCUUUACAUCUGGAGAUCUAUAGCAGGGCUAUCCCUAGUGACAUGCGUGAAGAAGCUUGGAAAUGGUGCUGGGUAGGAGCUGAGUGUGCAGAAUGUGGAAAGGCAUUCUAAACCAAAGGAAGAACACGAGUAAAGAUGAUGAAGCAGGGAUAAGGCUAAAAUGAAAUUUGUGAUCUGAUCCACAUACAAGCACAGUGUAGUACAGCUGGAAUAUAGAGAAGAGCUUGAAGACUUAUGAGCAACUAUCCCGGUACUCUUGGAGGCUCUGCAACCACAGUUUGAGAAACUCCGCGUUCAAAGUUAAAAACUGUCACCUGAAUAGUUAAUAACAUCAAAGAUUGUGAAAGCAAGUAUAAAUAACACAGAGAUUAAAAUAAUGAGGCAGGAUCAGAAA